UACGUAGGGUGCGAGCGUUGCCCGGAUUUAUUGGGCGUAAAGGGCGCGUAGGCGGCUCGGCACGUCCGUUGUGAAAUCGCCCGGCUCAACUGGGCGGGGUCAGCGGAUACGGUCGAGCUUGAGCAAGCUAGGGGGCAAUGGAAUUCCCGGUGUAGUGGUGGAAUGCGUAGAUAUCGGGAGGAACACCAGUGGCGAAGGCGGUUGCCUGGAGCUUUGCUGACGCUGAGGCGCGAAAGCGUGGGGAGCAAAAGGG
rnacentral:rRNA from 1 species